CGACUGAUCGUGUCAAACUACAUGAUACGAAAAAGUUGAAGCUGAUGUCUACCACGUUCGCUGGUUUGCAGGAAGAAUUUUGGUUUUCUUAAUAUUAAUAUUUCGGAUGAUAUCAAUUUGCGACUCGAGAUAGUAAUCUUGCAUUAUUUGAUCAUUUAUUGAGCAGUUUAUUAGAAUACGGUGUGAGAAGGUGUUUCGAGCAGGUUUCUUACAACCUCAAAGUUAUUUAGUUGACCUUAGAUAUUGAUUAGGCGGUGGUUUGGUCAGGGCUUUCUUCCCCCUGUUGCACUUUACGAAGAAAUCGUUAGUUUAUGAAUUUAUCGUACCGUAUCAGUUAUUAAUUGAACUAAACUACCAUCCAGGGUUGAAUUCGCCAUAAGUAGUUUACCGGUGGAGAGGAAACUAGCAGUUUAAGCAGGUCACCGAAACUGUAAGAAAACCUAGUUGAAAUGGUAAACAGUUUAAAUGCUCCUUAUUCUCGAUUGUAGCUUAAUAGCAACAUCAUCAACAAAUAUAUCGUCGUUCGCUAAAGAGUCGCUGACUUAGU